rnacentral:antisense_RNA from 1 species
AUUAAAGGGCUCGCGGCCAACAAAAAGGCAACCCCGGGGGUGGCGAAAAGCGUCCUUCGGGCAGGACUAGUGCGGAGCCCCGCGGGGAGCACCCCAGCAGGGAAGUCCCGAUCUUCCCACGUGCUGGGAAGCCUCCCAUGUGCUGGCUCUGUCUCGCCAUCCCACUCACCUUCCCAGGGAGGGAUGCCCUAGAACGCGGCCCGGCCCGCCUUUUGAAGGGGGAAAGUGGGGCGCCUCUGAGCCUCUGCCUGGGGUGGGGGCGGGCCAGGUCCUCUGCCAACUCAAAGACGAGGCAGGGCGCCAGCGCUGGAGGCGUGGCUGUGCCUGAGAGCCGUUGAAGGAGGGAGCCCCGCCUUCCCUCUCCUGUCUCCUAGUUCUCCUAUUGCGCUUUUCCUGGGGGAUCUUUCUCCCUCUGUCUCCGCCCCCUAAUCCAUGCUCCCGAUAAUGAGGGUGGGGGAUGGUGGUAGGAGAACGCUCGGCGCCUGCGCACUAGCUUCAGGCCGCGGGCUGGCCCAAGAGCGGAGGUAGAGGGAACGACGCAUGCUUGAGAAAUGGCGGGAAACAGAAGAGGCUCGAGGCUUGCGCACACGCCCACAGCCAACUGCUUCUGGACCGCCUGAAAGGCAACCUCGCCCGCCGCGGUGGUGUGGGGCGGGCAUCCCUUGAGACUGUGCUCUGGAGGCCUGGAGAAACAGCUUUCUAUCCUCAGCACUGGGGAGAGCAGGCCUCAAUCCCUGUCUUUGCCUGCCGCCCCUCCUCCUUCCCUCUCAAAGCAUACCCAGCAGACCCGGCGCUGAGAAACGCGUUACUCUCUUAUCAGCUGUGGGAGAGACAAGACAGACUGGCCUCUGGGCGGAGGGGCCGCCAUUGCCUGCCCUCUGGACCAGGGCCUCACAGAUACCCUCAGCUUCAGGAUUAGGGCUGCGUUGCUUUUUCCCCCCACAUCAGGGGACUUCAACAAGUAACCUCCAGUUCCAUAGAUAAAAUUUGCAUUCCCCCCUUCUCCAUGGCGGGGGUUUUGAGCCUAGAGAAGGAAGAUCGGAGCUUCCUGGGGCUCCUGUGAAGCAGGCAGGGGGCAGCACUGGGCCCCGGGAAGAGGCGGAGAAGGCGAGGGAGUGCCUGCGGUGAGCCCAGAGCCUUAGGCCCGUUAUCCUCUGAUGCUGCUCCCCCAACUUUCCUGCCGUCAGUCCCUGACCUUGCCUGAGACCUUGGCGGCUCCCGCACCUCUCUCCCGGCUCCUCCUUGCUGAGAACACAACCCGCAAGGCCCUUCCGCCUGGCUGGACUGAGUCCCCUAUGGAGGCAGCCUGGCAGGGAGCAGGUGUCUUCCUGGCAGAAGAGGACAGACCUGGUAAACUGAGAGACUGUUGAUGCCCCGAUGUUCUGCCUAGCCUGCCUGGAAACUCCAGAAGGAUACAGCAAGAAAGCAGCAUCUGCAAGAAAGCCCUCACCAGGACCAAAUCAGCUGACACCUCAACCUUGGACUACCCAGCUUCCCGAACUGUGAGGUAUAGAUUUUUAUUGUUGAAGUCACCAAGGCUACGGUGUUUUUAAUAGCAGCCCAAGUCCAGGAAUACAUCAUCUGACUCACUGUUUUGAAUCAAACUCUUCAGUUUCUCCAUCAACUUAGCUGGCAGCUCCUGUCCCCAGCAGCAUCAGAGGCCCCAUGAAAAGAGCUCCAGCAGGGGCUCAGCCUGCACGGGUCCCAUGGGGCAGCCUCAGUGUCAGGGCCUGGAUGGCAGGUGAGACUCCAGUGACACAACCACAAUGUGAAAGUGUAAGAGUUUUUAACUACUUACAGAUACUGGAAAGCACAGGGCACACCUGGAGACCACAGACACUGGGGUCAGAGAGCCCAGGCAGGGAGGAGAGAAGGGAACUGUAGGCCAAUGGCUUUAUUGGGUCCAGGGUGUUGUUGACAGGUUUCCAGAAGGGAGCUUUAAUGGGUGUGUUUAAAGCAGGCAAACACUGGGGCAAGAAGAUCACACUGUGACUGAGAGGUGGUCACUUUAAAUUGGAGGGCAAAUGUCACAACUGUUUCAGUUUAAAGGAAGCAGCUGGCGAGAGGGGAGCCCAGCACACUAUGCAAGAGAGAUGCCUCUAAGAUUUUAUCUGUGGCCACCGACUGGAGCCAUUUGGACCGGGUACAGCAGUGGAAACUCUGUGAUGGUGACAAAUAUGGGAAUCACUCUGAUGUGACGCAGUUAAAUUUACACCUUAAAAAAUGGAUGCCAAGACAACAUAAACAAGACCCAGGGACACCAACAGGGUAUGGUGCUGUGCCCCAGAGUCAGGGUCCUGGGUUCUUACCCAGGGAAGUGAGAAAUAAAGAUAACUUUUCCCUGC